AGCUGGUUGAAACUGGGUCAAAUUGUGCGCUGCUUGCGGUUCAUUUGGUCCCCUUCAACCAGCUGU
rnacentral:pre_miRNA from 1 species